UUUCAAGAACAGCAUGCAAAAAGAUGGCUCUUCACAUCACCCCAUGCCAUCUGAGGACAGGAACUGUGUCUUGCAUGACCCUGAAACAUGAUCAGAGUACCCAGCACGUGGCCACUGCCUGCCUGGGUCUCCUGGAGCCUAUGAAAUGAGAAGCAGUCAUUAGCACAGCAAGCGGCCCUCAUCCUUCCUUCUCAAUAAUAACACUGUCACCAGAGGAUGGAAAAUUACCCUGACGUCUCUGUAUCUCCAAAUUGCACUUCAGAGACAGACUGCGUAAGGCAAACAGACCCUGAGUGAAAACCUCCUGGCUAGACUUCCAAGCCAAGGCCUAAUAAAUAACCCUGAAAUAUACAAAGUGAUGGCAGCUUUGCUCUGUGGCUCGUGGCUUCUGCCCUGGGAAGGACCAUGAAUUUCAGCGUCUGACAGAUGGGGUCAGAAAGUGGAGUCUGCCUGGUGGGUUGAGGAUCUGCAAAUUAACCCCAUGGUGGUGGUUUCAGAACAAGUGUGCCUGCUCACGCAAAGACUAACCUCUAAGAAAGGAGCAGGCCCGGAGGUGAGGCCCCCUGGGCGUGAAAGAAUCAACCCCAGUCCACAAAGUCCGGAGAUGAGACAUCCUGCCUGGAGGAGGGAGCCCUGUGCAUCGCAGGAUCAAAGAAGCCAAACAGGAUCUUUAGUGGUGACCGAAAAUGCUCAUGAGGAGAAAGGCUGCAUGGCAUUAAGUGAACCCCAUUGAAAGGGUCUCCAUGAGAAUGUUAAAUGACAACAAGAAGAAAUCAAUAUCUCAUCGCUGACGCGGGGCUGGGCAUUCAAGUGAAAUACAAGAUUCAAAGUACUGAUAGAAGGAUGCAAAGAUGUUGAUCUCCUGGGAAGAAAAAAGUUAAAAAAAGGUGACAAAUGCCAAGCUAGAGAGACUCAUCUAAAUAGCUAAUGCAAAUAAAUCCAACAUAGACAGCUAUAGAUGUUGAAGCUUUUUUUUAAAUUAGAUUUCUUCAGGGAUUACUGAUAAGCAUCACAUCAAAAAAGAUGAUCAAGAAUAAAUUGGUUCUCAAGCAAUGCCUGCAAAAAAAUUGUGAUGUGAAAAUAAACAAAAUAUUCCUAAUGUGAAUAAUUUAAAAAUAUAAACAACUUUGGAAAUAGGAAAUUUACAGAGUUUACUACAAAAUCUGUAUCCUAGAAGAGGUAUUGCAUUUAGAGGUAGGAGGCUGCAUAUAGGAAACCAAUAAUUGUUAGCAUUUAUCAAGUAUUAGUUAUAUGCCAGGUACAUAACUAAUAAGUGACUUUUUGUAAGUAGGUGGGAUUUUUGUGAACACUCA
rnacentral:lncRNA from 1 species